ACAGUGGUGGUUCAGUGGUAGAAUUCUCACCUUCCAUGCAGAAGACCUGGGUUCGAAUCCCGGCCAGUGCA
rnacentral:tRNA from 1 species